GAUGAACGCUGGCGGCGUGCCUAAUACAUGCAAGUCGAGCGAACAGAUGAGGAGCUUGCUCCUCUGACGUUAGCGGCGGACGGGUGAGUAACACGUGGAUAACCUACCUAUAAGACUGGGAUAACUUCGGGAAACCGGAGCUAAUACCGGAUAAUAUAUUGAACCGCAUGGUUCAAUAGUGAAAGACGGUUUUGCUGUCACUUAUAGAUGGAUCCGCGCCGCAUUAGCUAGUUGGUAAGGUAACGGCUUACCAAGGCAACGAUGCGUAGCCGACCUGAGAGGGUGAUCGGCCACACUGGAACUGAGACACGGUCCAGACUCCUACGGGAGGCAGCAGUAGCGAAUCUUCCGCAAUGGGCGAAAGCCUGACGGAGCAACGCCGCGUGAGUGAUGAAGGUCUUCGGAUCGUAAAACUCUGUUAUUAGGGAAGAACAAAUGUGUAAGUAACUAUGCACGUCUUGACGGUACCUAAUCAGAAAGCCACGGCUAGCUACGUG
rnacentral:rRNA from 1 species